AGAGUUUGAUCAUGGCUCAGAACGAACGUUGGCGGCGUGGAUUAGGCAUGCAAGUCGAACGAGAAACCCUGGGCAACUGGGGUGGAAAGUGGCGAAAGGGGCAGUAAUGCGUGGGUAACCUACCUCGGGGACCGGCAUAGCCACUCUAACGGGUGGGUAAUUCCGGGCGAUUUGGCGAAGGCGCAUGUCUUUGUCAGGAA
rnacentral:rRNA from 1 species